UUUGAACAAUUUUUGUUCACAAUUAAUGUCAUGGUGGCGAUAAAGGGGAGUGAGAUACAUAUGGUUAGCAUCGACCAGAGAUCUUCAACAAAAAUGUACAAAGAACAAAGGACCAAACUGGAGUACCUUAUAAAAUAUGUAACUUAAAGUUAGCUUAUGUUGAGAUUUUAUAUAUUGCACAAAACAGACAAAAUUUAGGACUAAAGCAAAAGGCUAGAACCAUGAGAAUUGUUUACUUCAAAACAUUGUUUGAGAGUGGAGAGGAGGGAGAGAUGGGAUAGCAUACACAAAGAGCCACUUUGUUGGCUUUGCGCGAGGAGUGCAUCACGUAGCAACGAGGGAAGGUAGCUAGGAUCCUACUUUCUUGGGGGUGCGACAUGCUCAUGGUCGUGUAGAUGAGAGACUAGUGACGAUGAUCUAGCAUUCUAGUGGAUGACAAUUGGGUAGACGGGCACUCGGAUUGGUGCAGAGGAUGCUACAGCCAUUGUCGAUGAGGGUUAUGUGGUGGCAUCUUCGGAGGUGUUAGCGAGGUUGAAGUUGAGGUGAUGAAGUUUACACACAACCGUGGAGUGCUGGUGGGUCGGUAGGGUGACACAAACGAUCUACGAUAAAAAACAAAUUAGGAAAAAAUUUAUCUAAACAAGAAUUAUAAACAUUCUAGGCCAAUCAACGAUCCACGAUAUGAGCCCUAAACUUUGGGUUGCAGCCACAUGAAAAAGGUUGGAUCAUUUCUUUGGGGUAGCGCCAUGGAAGCGGAGGCGGUGGCUUAGGAACAGCACUGGCUCUAUAACUUGUAAGGAUAUGAACAAACUUCUUGAGAAAAUGGACUCAUAUUUUCUUGAAGUAAUUGUUGGUGUCUAGCUGAGCCACUAGUAAGGAAAGGAGAUACUGGACUGUAAAAUGUGGGAUGAUUUGUAUUUAGCCUCCUGGAGGUAGACGUACAUAGUGGGUUGGAUCUCAAACAAUCUUAGAGAUAGAGAAGGAAGCUAUGUACUACCAUGAGAACCGGAUCUUUCGGAUCCUCAUCCAUAUGCUCUAAUACAAUAUUGCCCAUAAAAUAUUUUUCAUCAUGUUAGCUCUUCAUGAUGUUCUAAUACAAUGAUUGUGACUUGCGCGAUCCUACUGCACUAAUUUUCUCAAGAAACCAUGCAUAAACACAAAAAAAAAAUAUAAAAACACAAAAAUAUUACGCUACCUAGCAAAUUUUUGGUUCUACACAGUGUGCAUCGUUGUACUGUACUCCUUCC
rnacentral:lncRNA from 1 species